UACAUCAUUGAACUUCAGAUCCCAACUCCGCAAUCCUGAUGCUGCAAGGUACUGAACUCCUAAGCAGUGAGGAUUUGGAAAGUUUUGCUGGUGAAUUAAUAUGUUAGAUACAAAGCACUGACUACUUACACUAAAAAGCUUAAAA